AACUGGGGGAGAGAGAAGCUUACAGAAGCCAGCCCAGUGCCAGCUCCCUGGCAGGGAGUAAAUAUUCACGUGAAGACAGUGGGGCCAAAAGCAGCUCCGUGGAUGGGUUUCUUUACUCACCGUUGACACUGAGCUGUACUGAGCGGCAAAGCAAGGCUUAUUUAUCUUAAGUCUCACCACUUUGCCCUUCUCCUUGUGGGACCACUACCGGUGUUAAGUUUCUGUAUCUGUAUCUGCUUGCAUGGUUAACUCAGGAGUUUCAUUAUGAAGAAUUUGUUCAAUGUCAUAACAGCUGAAUGAGGGCAGCUCUCUCACUGGAUCUGAGGCUCAUGGCUCUUCUGCAUGGCUGGCUGGAAUGAAGACCCCAGGGCUCACCCUGUCUCUGCCUUCCCUGAGCUGGGAUCACCAAUACUCAAUGUAGAGCUUAGGUUUUGUUUUUCUUAGUGUG